rnacentral:tRNA from 1 species
UCCUCGUUAGUAUAGUGGACAGUAUCUGUGCUUGUCACGCAGAAGACCAGGGUUCGAUUCCCUGACGGGGAG